rnacentral:misc_RNA from 1 species
GAUGAAGAACGUAGCGAAAUGCGAUACGUAAUGUGAAUUGCAAAUUCAGUGAAUCAUCGAGUCUUUGAACGCACAUUGCGCCCCCUGGUAUUCCGGGGGGCAUGCCUGUCCGAGCGUCAUUGCUGCCCUCAAGCACGGCUUGUGUGUUGGGCCCCGUCCUCCGAUCCCGGGGGACGGGCCCGAAAGGCAGCGGCGGCACCGCGUCUGGUCCUCGAGCGUAUGGGGCUUUGUCACCCGCUCUGUAGGCCCGGCCGGCGCCUGCCGAUCAACCCAAAUUUUUUAUCCAGGUUGACCUCGGAUCAGGUAGGGAUACCCGCUGAACUUAAGCAUAUCAAUAAGCGGAGGA